ACGGAGGGUCCAAGCGUUAUCCGGAUUUAUUGGGUUUAAAGGGUCCGUAGGCGGGAAGAUAAGUCAGUGGUGAAAGCCUGUGGCUCAACCAUAGAAUUGCCAUUGAUACUGUCUUUCUUGAGUUUACAUGAUGUGGGCGGAAUGUGUCGUGUAGCGGUGAAAUGCUUAGAUAUGACACAGAACACCGAUUGCGAAGGCAGCUCACAAACGUAAUACUGACGCUGAGGGACGAAAGCGUGGGGAGCGAACAGG
rnacentral:rRNA from 1 species